UAAAGAGCUUGCAGGCGGUUUGUCGCGUCUGCCGUGAAAAUCCGGGGCUCAACCCCGGACUCGCAGUGGGUACGGGCAGACUAGAGUGUGGUAGGGGAGACUGGAAUUCCUGGUGUAGCGGUGAAAUGCGCAGAUAUCAGGAGGAACACCGAUGGCGAAGGCAGGUCUCUGGGCCACUACUGACGCUGAGAAGCGAAAGCAUGGGGAGCGAACAGGAUUAGAUACCCUGGUAGUCCAUGCCGUAAACGUUGGGCGCUAGGUGUGGGACUCAUUCCACGAGUUCCGUGCCGCAGCUAACGCAUUAAGCGCCCCGCCUGGGGAGUACGGCCGCAAGGCUAAAACUCAAAGGAAUUGACGGGGGCCCGCACAAGCGGCGGAGCAUGCGGAUUAAUUCGAUGCAACGCGAAGAACCUUACCAAGGCUUGACAUAUACCGGAAACUUCCAGAGAUGGUUGCCCCCUUUGGGUCGGUAUACAGGUGGUGCAUGGUUGUCGUCAGCUCGUGUCGUGAGAUGUUGGGUUAAGUCCCGCAACGAGCGCAACCCUCGUUCUAUGUUGCCAGCACGUUAUGGUGGGGACUCAUGGAAGACUGCCGGGGUCAACUCGGAGGAAGGUGGGGAUGACGUCAAAUCAUCAUGCCCCUUAUGUCUUGGGCUUCACGCAUGCUACAAUGGCCGGUACAAAGGGCUGCGAUGCCGUAAGGUGGAGCGAAUCCCAAAAAACCGGUCUCAGUUCGGAUUGGGGUCUGCAACUCGACCCCAUGAAGUCGGAGUCGCUAG
rnacentral:rRNA from 1 species